rnacentral:rRNA from 1 species
UACGAAGGGGGCUAGCGUUGUUCGGAAUUACUGGGCGUAAAGCGCACGUAGGCGGGCGAUUAAGUCAGGGGUGAAAUCCCGGAGCUCAACUCCGGAACUGCCUUUGAUACUGGUCGUCUAGAGAUCGGAAGAGGUGAGUGGAAUUCCCAGUGUAGAGGUGAAAUUCGUAGAUAUUGGGAAGAACACCAGUGGCGAAGGCGGGUCUCUGGGCCGAUACUGACGCUGAGGAGCGAAAGCGUGGGGAGCGAACAGG